rnacentral:rRNA from 1 species
ACGAACGCUGGCGGCGCGCCUCACACCUGCAAGUCGAACGAGCGAGAGAGAGCUUGCUUUCUUGAGCGAGUGGCGAACGGGUGAGUAACGCGUGAGGAACCUGCCUCAAAGAGGGGGACAACAGUUGGAAACGACUGCUAAUACCGCAUAAGCCCACGACCCGGCAUCGGGUUGAGGGAAAAGGAGCAAUCCGCUUUGAGAUGGCCUCGCGUCCGAUUAGCUAGUUGGUGAGGUAACGGCCCACCAAGGCGACGAUCGGUAGCCGGACUGAGAGGUUGAACGGCCACAUUGGGACUGAGACACGGCCCAGACUCCUACGGGAGGCAGCAGUGGGGAAUAUUGCACAAUGGGGGAAACCCUGAUGCAGCGACGCCGCGUGGAGGAAGAAGGUCUUCGGAUUGUAAACUCCUGUUGUUGAGGAAGAUAAUGACGGUACUCAACAAGGAAGUGACGGCUAACUACGUG